rnacentral:rRNA from 1 species
UACGUAGGGGGCUAGCGUUGUCCGGAAUCAUUGGGCGUAAAGAGCGUGUAGGCGGCUCAGUAAGUCCGCUGUGAAAGUCCAGGGCUCAACCCUGGAAUGCCAGUGGAAACUGUUGAGCUAGAGUCCGGAAGAGGCGAGUGGAAUUCCUGGUGUAGCGGUGAAAUGCGCAGAUAUCAGGAGGAACACCGGUGGCGAAGGCGGGUCUCUGGGCCGAUAUUGACGCUGAGGAGCGAAAGCGUGGGGAGCAAACAGG